rnacentral:misc_RNA from 1 species
GAUGAAGAACGCAGCGAAAUGCGAUAAGUAGUGUGAAUUGCAGAAUUCAGUGAAUCAUCGAAUCUUUGAACGCACAUUGCGCCCUGUGGUAUUCCGCAGGGCAUGCCUGUUCGAGCGUCAUUGACACCCUCAAGCUCUGCUUGGUCUUGGGCGUUUGUGCCUGCCGUUGCGCAGGGACUCGCCUCAAACUCAUUGGCAGCCUGCCUUUGCCGGUCUUUGCACAGCACAGUCGUGCCAAAGCCGCGGUGAGCAGGCGCUCCACAAGCCCUUUUCAGCUUGACCUCGGAUCAGGUAGGAAUACCCGCUGAACUUAAGCAUAUCAAUAGCGGAGGA